ACCCAGCUGACGAGUCCCAAAUAGGACGAAACGUGCGUCAAAUUGGAU
rnacentral:hammerhead_ribozyme from 1 species